ACACGUAUGAAAGACAAGCUGAAAGACUUUUCUCAAUGAUGUAAGUGGUGGUGCAUGGUCGUUCUUAGUUCGUGGAUUGAUUUGUCUGGUCUAUUCCGAUAACGAGCGAGACCCCUACGUUCCUAAUAGGGGCGGCAGCCCGGCUUUCCCCCUCACGGGGGUCUGCUAGCAGCCGCCUAAUUAGCUUCUUAGACGUAUCAGAGCCGAUAAGGUUCUUGAAAUGGGUUAAUAACAGGUCAGUCAUGCCCUUAGAUGUUCUGGGCCGCACGCGCGUUACAAUGGUAUACAUUAGAACGUGCUCUUCGGGCUUUUCCGCGGCCUACUGGCCGCGGUAAUCCCUAGUCUCUCCCUUGACUGGGCCAGACUAUUGCAAUUAUUGGUCUCCAACGAGGAAUUUUUAGUAGUCGCAGGUCAUUAACCUGCGACGA
rnacentral:rRNA from 1 species